GCCCAAGUGGCGGAAUGGUAGACGCAGGGGAUUCAAAAUCCCCCGCCUUUGCAGGCGUGCCGGUUCGAGUCCGGCCUUGGGUACCA
rnacentral:tRNA from 2 species